UACGUAGGGUGCAAGCGUUGUCCGGAAUUAUUGGGCGUAAAGAGCUCGUAGGCGGCUUGUCGCGUCGGCUGUGAAAACCUGGGGCUCAACCCCGGGCCUGCAGCCGAUACGGGCAAGCUAGAAUUCGGUAGGGGAGACUGGAAUUCCUGGUGUAGCGGUGAAAUGCGCAGAUAUCAGGAAGAACACCCGUGGCUAAGGCGGCUCUCUAGUACGGUACUGACGCUGAGACGCGAAAGCGUGGGGAGCGAACAGG
rnacentral:rRNA from 1 species